rnacentral:rRNA from 1 species
AUUGAACGCUGGCGGCGGGCCUAACACAUGCAAGUCGAGCGCAGCGGCGGACGGGUGAGUGAUGCCUAGGGAUCUGCCUGUGAGUAGGGGAUACAGUCCGGGAGGGGACGCUAAUGCCACAUACUAGAAGAGCAGCCUAGGUCGGAUUAGCUAGUUGGUGGGGUAAAGGCUUACCAAGGCGACGAGCCGUAACUGGUCUGAGAGGAUGAUCAGGCACACUGGAACUGAGACACGGUCCAGACUCCUACGGGAGGCAGCAGUGGGGAAUAUUGGACAAUGGGCGAAAGUCUGAUCCAGCAAUGCCGCGUGUGUGAAGAAGGUCUUCGGAUUGUAAAGCUCUUUAAGUUGGGAGGCGUUACCUACAGAAUAAGCACCGGCUAACUUCGUGCCAGCAGCCGCGGUAAUAC